GACGAACGCUGGCGGCGUGCUUAACACAUGCAAGUCGAGCGGAGCGGCGAACGGGUGAGUAACGCGUGAGUAACUGCCCCCCUCUCUGGGAUAACAGUUGGAAACGGCUGCUAAUACCGGAGAGUGUGGGAUGACUCGCGUCCUAUCGUCUUGUUGGUGGGGUAGUGGCCUACCAAGGCGACGACGGGUAGCCGGCCUGAGAGGGCGACAGGCCUCAUUGGGCUGAGGUACGGCCCAGAGUCCUACGGGAGACAGCGGGGGGGAAGAUUGAGAAGUGGGGGAGAGACAGAGGGAGCGACCCGGGUGCGGUAUGUGCGCGGUCGUGUUGUAAAGCGCAUACGGCGAUGACGCAGGAAUUGCAGAAGAUGCACCGGGUAGUUACGGGGCAGCAGCCGCGGUAAUAC
rnacentral:rRNA from 1 species